rnacentral:rRNA from 1 species
UUGAAAGGGAAACGAUUGAAGUCAGUCGUGCUGGCGCGAAAUCAACCUUCUCGUCUUGAGAUCACAUGGCGUGGCGAGCCUCAAAACCGUCACGAAGCGUGAACUCUUGGUGAAAUGGAGCACUUUCGUGUCCGCUGGUUAACAUCAAUUUCGAACGUCAUAAAAAGGCUGGAGGGAUGUGGCUCCUUCGGGAGUGUUAUAACCUUUAGCGGAAUGUGGUGUUCGGGAUUGAGGAUUGCAACGAAUACCUUUAGGGCUGUUCCACCUGGCUUCUCUUUAGUAUCCUGGUGACGACAGCUUGCUGACGUCGUUAGGAUUCGCCUUUGAACAGGUUAGAGUGUGAGCAAAUUCGUUAAGGAUGUUGACGUA